ensembl:lncRNA
AGAUGCCCAGUUGAUUGUCAUACCUUGGCCUUUAUUGAUGUAACUCUUUAUGCAACUCAUUAAAAUGACAGUUUGGAUAUUGCUAAAUAAACUAAACUAGGAACAAUUUCAUAAUUUCCUGAGACUUUUAGGGCCAUGUCCCUACUGUUAGUUCCCAAAUGGACAUAGAGUAUCUAGCAUUUAAUAGGUAAGUGUAUGGUAAUUACAAGUAAUUCAUACUUAGUAACUUGCGGAAACUCUAAGGUUUGUAGAGCAGUACUUUGCUGCACAAUGCAAUAGGUACACAGAACAGUCUGUGUUUUUAUGAAUGCACUGUUACAUCAUUUCAGUUACUUUAUAAAGUUACAUAAAGUAAUAUACACAUUCUAAUAACUAAUACAUACUAGGUAGUUACUCUGUUGUAAAAUAAACGACUCUUUUCCUAGUAGUAGUAUUGUUUGACCUUGUGCUUCAUAGCCUGUAAAACUGGCAUAAAACAGCAGACUGUUGAUUAUAUCAGAACCCAAACCGUGAAAUCUCACGCUCUGCAGUCUCUCCUCCACAGUGAAUGAGUACACAGCAGAAGGAGGGGCCAUGUGAGGACAGCUUUACAAACCCAGAGAACAUGGUGUUCCUCUACUGAGCACGACUAAGUGGGUGGAGGGGUGUGUGUAUGUGUGCGUGUGUUUUAAGGGUAAAGAGAUAAGAACACGUUUUCUGCUUCAUUCCUUUAUAUUGUACCACUGCCUGUUAUAUGGUAAGAACUGAUGAAUUGUAGUUAAUUAACACAAGAUAGAUGACAAGUAGACAUAUGCUGUAAAUGUUUUAUUUAUCUUUAGGGGUGUCAUGCAUAUCUGGUGUCAUGGCUAAGGGAGGCCUGUGUUAAUGCUGCUGAAUUUAUAGCCUGUGAGAUGAAAUAAAGAGGAAAGUGUGGGCAGUCUGAGUGUGUGGUAGUGCACGUGUGUGUAUGUGAGAGAGUGAAAGAGUGCAAUAGAGAGCGAGAAAGAGAGAGAGAGAGAGAGAGAGAGAGAGAGAGAGAGCGAGUGGGUGGUGGUAGGCUGGUGGUGCCCAGAGCUCUGAGAGGCAACCAGGCAGACAGACCUUGAGUUCAGACUGUGUGUGGGUGUCUUGCAGUGGGUGUUGCUGUAGUGUGACCUCUCUGGGCUUCCUCUCUCUCUCAGUCUGUGUGGGGGCGACACCGGCUGGCAUUGGCAUGUACACACACACACACACACACACACACACACACACACACACACACACACACACACACACACACUCACUAGAGAGCAAUAAAGAAGCCUUUAUCAAAAUCAAAAGGCCACAUUAAAAUUUCUUUCUUUCUU